UUGGUGUCUAGUAGUUUGGGUGGGUGGGGUGGUGUCUAGUGGUUUGGGUGGGUGGGUUGGUGUCUAGUGGUCUGGUGGGGGGGUUGGUGUCUAGUGAUUUGGGUGGGUGGGGGGUUGGUGUCUAGUGAUUUGGGUGGGUGGGGUUGGUGUCUAGUAGUUUGGGUGGGUGUCUAGUGGUUUGGGUGGGUGUCUAGUGGUUUGGGUGGGGGGGUUGGUGUUGGUACCCAGUUGGUUCUGUAGGUCUACGUACCCAGUUGGUUCUGUAGGUCUACGUACCCAGUUGGUUCUGUAGGUCUACGUACUGCUAGGGUUCUACGUACCCAGUUGGUUCUGUAGGUCUACGUACCCAGUUGGUUCUGUAGGUCUACGUACCCAGUUGGUUCUGUAGGUCUACGUACUGCUAGGGUUCUACGUACCCAGUUGGUUCUGUAGGUCUACGUACCCAGUUGGUUCUGUAGGUCUACGUACCCAGUUGGUUCUGUAGGUCUACGUACCCAGUUGGUUCUGUAGGUCUACGUACCCAGUUGGUUCUGUAGGUCUACGUACCCAGUUGGUUCUGUAGGUCUACGUACCCAGUUGGUUCUGUAGGUCUACGUACCCAGUUGGUUCUGUAGAUCUACGUACUGCUAGGGUUCUACGUACCCAGUUGGUUCUGUAGGUCUACGUACCCAGUUGGUUCUGUAGGUCUACGUACCCAGUUGGUUCUGUAGAUCUACGUACCCAGUUGGUUCUGUAGAUCUACG